GAUGAACGCUGGCGGCGUGCCUAAUACAUGCAAGUCGAGCGAACAGACGAGGAGCUUGCUCCUCUGACGUUAGCGGCGGACGGGUGAGUAACAUGUGGAUAACCUACCUAUAAGACUGGGAUACUUCGGGAAACCGGAGCUAAUACCGGAUAAUAUAUUGAACCGCAUGGUUCAAUAGUGAAAGACGGUUUUGCUGUCACUUAUAGAUGGAUCCGCGCCGCAUUAGCUAGUUGGUAAGGUAACGGCUUACCAAGGCAACGAUGCGUAGCCGACCUGAGAGGGUGAUCGGCCACACUGGAACUGAGACACGGUCCAGACUCCUACGGGAGGCAGCAGUAGGGAAUCUUCCGCAAUGGGCGAAAGCUUGACGGAGCAACGCCGCGUGAGUGAUGAAGGUCUUCGGAUCGUAAAACUCUGUUAUUAGGGAAGAACAAAUGUGUAAGUAACUAUGCACGUCUUGACGGUACCUAAUCAGAAAGCCACGGCUAACUACGUG
rnacentral:rRNA from 1 species